UCCAGUACUCUUGGAAGAGCCGGCGGGAAAGAGGUGUGGGAGGUCAGGCCUUCCGCUGUGGCUCCUCCCUUCCCGCUAGGUGGCGGUGCACGUGGACAUCUGCCUGAGAAUUUUCCUUCUAUCACGCAAUAGUGACCGCCCUUCAGGUUUAGGUUUCGAUUAAAUAAAAUUUAGAGAGGUUUGCUCAGAAAUGGCGAAGCCAUGUGAAAGAAAUGAUAACGGCCCGUAAUUACUUCCCGCGUGUGCUGCUCAUCGGACGUUUUGUGAGGUUACAAAGAAGCAUGGCGCUGAGUACGAGGGGGAUAAGUUUGAUGUCAAGACUUUUCUCGGGAGGUAACUUCCUCCUUUCAGGAGCGUUACCUGGUCUGCCAGGUGUUCUCAUUGGAUCCGGCAUGGCCCUUCAACCCAGCCUUAGCCUUAUUUCUGUCUUCAAGGACGCUCUGUCUGGGGGAAACCAGCUGCAUGUCAUGAGAAGCCCUAAGGAGAGGCCCAUGUAGUAAAGAACUGAGCCUACUGGCAACAGCUAGUGUCAACUUGCUGGUCAUGUCAGUGUGCCACUGUGGAAACAGAUCUUCUGGUCCAGGUCAAAGCUGAGACUGAAUUCCCAGCUAACAUCAUGACUUAUGAGAGACCACAAAUCACAUCAUCAGCUAAGUCACCCCUUAUCUCUGUGAGAUAAUAAAUGUUUGCUAUUGUAAGCUGCUAAAUCUUGGGAAAUUGCUACAAUGUGGAUAAAGGUCCUUUAAAGUCCCCUGUGUCGAAAGCUUGGUCAUCAGCCUGUGUUAUUGGGAGGUGGUAGAACCUUUAGGAGGUGUGGCCUCAUGGAAGGAAGUUAUGUCUUGAAGAGGAUAUUGGGACUGUGUCCCCUUCCAUGGACUGAAACCUCUGAAACUUGAGCCAAAAUAAACCUUUCCUCUUAUAAGUUGA